CACCUGGGCCAUGUGUGUCCAGCCAGCACACUGGGCUUCGGGUUCCUGGCCCCUCGAUCUCAGCCGGGCAAAGCAGCGAUUCGGGUCUCAUGAUGUAGUCCAGCCUGGCAAUGAACUCUCUGCAAUCCUCCUGCCUCACCCUCCUGAGUGCUGAGGUUACAGGCGUGUGCCACCACGUCCAGCUGGACAGCUACUUUAAAAACAGCAUUUCCACUGAAUGGAGGGGAGGACACUCAGCUUUCCUUGGCAUGGCAGCUUCUAGCUCUGACACCUGGAACCUCCUCUUGAGGACACUGAAGUGGGAUUUUGGGGGAUGCCUGAUGCGCUGGUGCAGUGCUCCUGGAGUUCCCCACAGCUCCGGCUAGACCAGGGGUCACCCGCUCAAUGGCAGACAAGGAGGAAGCCACCUCCCAGUCCCAGCUUAUGCACCCCGGCUUAAGACAUCCCUCGGUGCCACCCCAGGUCCUGGCCAACAGGAAAACCCGAGUGGCCGGGAUGCAGAAGGGACAGGAAGGGCUCCACUUAGGACUGCAGGGGAAACACCAGAACUGCACAGUGUUUGCAAGAUGCCCUGGCCAGGUGCACUCCCUCCCAGGCUGCAGGGUCCAGCUUUGUCAGCUAUCUGGCAAACAAGGUGUGAUCUAGAUACGCAGAGAACGUUCAAAUUUUUUAAAUUUACUAUAGUAACACAUGGCCAUGUGUCUUCCCCACAACACAACCACUUACUUCAAACACACUCAUCCCAUCAUCCUGGCCACUUCCUGCAGCAGCUCUGGAGCCCUCUCUCCUGAGUGUCUUUAGUUGCAAUGCUCUGGCUGCCUCAACGUCCUGAAUGGAUUCAAAACAUUUCCUUUUCAUGGUCAUUUUGACUUUGGGGAAGAGCCAGAAGUCGCAUGGUGCCAGAUCCCAUGGACAGGUGGCUGAGGACACAGCGUCAAUUUUUUAUGAGCUACCUUUCUGUUGGAUGGCACCAGGCAGCAGUAUUCACCACAUUUUUUUUUAUUGUGCCUCGUAAAGACAUAGCAGGGGAAGAGGACAAAAUUCAUCAAUGUCAAUAUCAAUCCGUGUGGUCCCCAACUAAACUUUUCAGCUCAUCAUCUGUCAGCAUCGUGAUGUGCAGAGAAGACACAUCCAGCAGCCUUGGAGUCUGGGGUUUGGAUCUUUUCCCUGCUGGCGGCAGAAAGGACACUCCCCCGUCUGGAAGCUGGUGACCGUAGUGACCACAAUGAGGAGGGAUGUGGUGUGUGGUCCGCCUGGGCUCUGCUGCUGAGCCAGGAUGUGGGCGGGCGGGUGGACAGGCUGAGUGUGUUCUUGACUUGUGACAUUUUCAAGGCACAGUGAGCUUACGGGGCUGGGACCCGCGGCCCACGCAGGAGCGCCUGUGUGUGUUGCUCAAUACACUGCAGGGGCUGCAGGGUGGACACAGUGUUCAGGGAGACCAUGAGCCUGCUGGGAUUUCUGACUGCCUAGGAUCUCUGACUCCCACACUUUCCAAAUGGCUGGGACUGGGUCCCGAUGUCUGCUGGAUGCAAUUGAAAAUGGUAAAGAACGGGCUUGAUUCCCUAUGUGAAUGAU